CACACUUCUUGAAGGUUGUAUAUACUCGUGAACAAGUUGAGGACCUUGAUACAUUGGUUGGACUGUUUCCUUGCUAAAGCACCGAGGGAAAGAUCGAGAGGAGGCAUGAAGCUGGCCAUUGGGGAUGGAAGAUCACAAUUGCAUAUAGACAUCUAUAUUUUGCAUAAACCUUGGGACUUGUACAUGAUUUAUGUGUUGUAUAAUUACAUGAAGUUUCGAGGACGAAUUUGAUCAUGUCACCAGGGGUUGUAAUAUAAGUAUGACUAUGUGUUUUGUUCUUUUGGGGCGUGUAAG